rnacentral:rRNA from 1 species
UACGGGGGGGGCAAGCGUUGUUCGGAAUUACUGGGCGUAAAGGGCGCGUAGGCGGCUCGCUAAGUCGGGUGUGAAAACUCUGGGCUCAACCCAGAGCCUGCAUUCGAAACUGACGAGCUAGAGUUCUGGAGGGGAAAGCGGAAUUCCUGGUGUAGCGGUGAAAUGCGUAGAUAUCAGGAGGAACACCGGUGGCGAAGGCGGCUUUCUGGACAGAAACUGACGCUGAGGCGCGAAAGCUAGGGGAGCAAACGGG